rnacentral:rRNA from 1 species
AGAACGAACGCUGGCGGCAUGCCUAACACAUGCAAGUCGAACGAGACCUUCGGGUCUAGUGGCGCACGGGUGCGUAACGCGUGGGAAUCUGCCCUUGGGUUCGGGAUAACAGUUGGAAACGACUGCUAAUACCGGAUGAUGACUUCGGUCCAAAGAUUUAUCGCCCAGGGAUGAGCCCCGCGUAGGAUUAGCUAGUUGGUGAGGUAAAGGCUCACCAAGGCGACGAUCCUUAGCUGGUCUGAGAGGAUGAUCAGCCACACUGGGACUGAGACACGGCCCAGACUCCUACGGGAGGCAGCAGUGGGGAAUAUUGGACAAUGGGCGAAAGCCUGAUCCAGCAAUGCCGCGUGAGUGAUGAAGGCCUUAGGUUGUAAAGCUCUUUACCGGGAUGAUAAUGACAGUACCGGAGAAGUAACGCCCCGGCUAACCGUCCGUGCCAGCAGCCGC